AGACAACAAACCUCAAGUACGACCCCGGACAACGAGGCUGCUUCAGUGUGAUGCUUCAUCCUGUAACGAAACACACUCACUCCUCCCCAAGGAAGUCAACCCCCAAUCCCGUCUAAUGACUUCCAGGUCAAAGCACAGGAUAUCAGAGAGAGAAAGUCCUCUCCAGAGCUACAUGGGGCUCCUCAUGGUCCCAUGACAUAGAAACUGCAAGACAAGUCACCUGUUCCCACUACCCCUUCCCCAGUCACCUUGCACACCCCAGUACAGCCGUGGACAUGUUACUGGAAAGGUGUCCCAAUCCAGACCCCAAGAGAAGGUUCUUGGAUGUCUCACAAGAAAGAAUAUUGGGAUGAGUCCAUAAAGUGAAAGCAAGUUUAUUAAGAAAGUAAAGGAAUAAAGAAUGACUACAACACAGGCAGAGCAAUCUAUGGUUUGUAUGGUUAUUUUUUAAUUAUAUGCUAAAUGGGGUGGAUUAUUCAAAAACUUUCCAGGAAAGGGGUGGGCGAUUCCCAGAGCUGGGGGCUCCUCCCCUUUUAGACCAUAUAGGUGAACUUCCUGAAGUUGUCAUGGCAUUUGUAAACUGUCAUGGCGCUGAGGAGAGUGACUUUUAGCUUGCUAAUACAUUAUAACUAGCGAAUAGUGAACAGUGAGGACGCCCAGAGGUCACUUUCAUCACCAUCUUGGUUUUGGUGGGUUUUGGCUGGCGUCUUUACCACUUCCUUUUAUCAGCAAGGUCUGUGUGACCUGCACUUGCGCCGACCUCCUAUCUCACCCUAUAACAAAGAACGCCUGAGCUCCUGGGACUGCAGCCCAGUAGGUCUCAGCCUUAUUUUGCCCAGCCCCUGUUCAAGAUGGAGUUGCUCUGGUUCAAACGCCUCUGACAGACAGGAACAGGAAAACCACAGUAAAAAUGUCCAUCUGGAAAAGGAAAUGAUGGAAACACUCACCAGCCACUGGUGCCCAGCGACAGGCAGAUCCUCUGGGCGGCAACGGUGAGGACCGCGCUUCGGCAGAGGAGCUUCCUCUGUCGGCAAAUACAGCCAACCCAGUUCCAGGAGAUCCUCCUUUUCCCAUCAUCCUGUGUGGCCGCAUCUGCAGCAAAGGGAAGGCUGCUAAAGACAUCCAGCAAUAAUUCAGUGGCUCCAGGAAGAUGGAAGUGUACACCCUCAGCUAUGAGAGUUCACGGUGAUCAUCCCCGACUCACAAGCUGUUUGGCUCCACAAGACCGUUCAGGGGCCUGGAAUCCUUCUAUCUUGUUUCUCUGGCAUCCCUUAAGCCAUCGGGCUUGUGGGCUUGAUCACUGAGCUGUGUUGUAGGCACAUCCCUGUGCCCCCUUGUGCAAAGGAGAAAAGAAUACUGGUGGGGAGGGAGUGGUAUACCAACAAUCUUAAGACCACACAAGAGAAGCUGGGAUGUAUACACUGGCUGUGUGCCCUGAAGGAAGGGAAAAUCAAUGUUGGUGAAAAAUUAGCACUCUCCACCACGGGCCUGGGAGCUGAAUGGGCAGAUUAUGGCCUUUAGCAUAGACAGACUGAAAGGAUGACAGUCUAUGUGGGAGCCCCUGAGCCACCUGCCCUUGUGAACACAAAAUAUCUGAGACAGGUCUCAAUCAAUUUAGAAAGUUUCCUUUGCCAAGGUUAAGGACAUGCCCGUGACAGAGCCUCAGGAGGUCCUGACAAUAUGUGCGCACGGUGGUCGGGGCACAGGUUGGUUUUACACAUUUUAGGGAGACAUGAGACAUUAAUCAAUAUGUUAAGAUGUACAUUGGUUCCAUCCAGAAAGGUGGAACAAUUCGAAGGUGGGCGCUUCCAGGUCAUAGGCAGAUAAGAGACAAAGGCUGCAUUCUUUUGAGUCCUUGAUCAGCCUUUCACUGAAUACACAAUGUAGUCUGGCGGUGUCCAUAAACUGCGCCUCAGGCUCAAACAGCUUCACCAGAGCCAUUACGAAAUCUCUGAACCAAAGACCACAACAAAGAAAUCUGGCAUCUCCCAAGCACCGUUCUGCCUUAGUACUCCAGCUAUGCACAGGUUGGGAGGGAGCAGCCGCUAUCGAGUUUCAGCCUCAGCCAAAGAAGGCAAUGGAUUCAAAUCCAGAGCGCCUGCUAGUCAGUUACACUCCCUGUAGCAGGAGAGCUGCCAAGCCCAGUCUCAUGGCUGUGCCACAGCGGGUUACAGUGAGAAGGAACACACACCUGUAAUCUCAGCACUUUGGGAGGCUGAGGUGAGAGGGCUGCUUGAGCUCAGGAGCUCAAGACUAGCCUGGGCCAUUUAGGGAGACCCCAUCUCUACAAAAAAUUAGAAAAAUAGUCUACUGUGGUGGUACACGCCUAUAGUCCUAGUUACUUGGGAGGCUGAGGUGGGAGGAUCACUUGAGCCUGGGAAGCAGAGGUUGCAGUGAGCCAAGAUUGCUCCACUGCACUCCAGCCUGGGUGACAGAGGGAGACCUUGUCUCAAGUAAAUAAAUAAAUAAGUAAACACUGGGUUGCAACCUAGCUCACCCCUGACUACCUGUGUGGCAUUGGUCAAGAAACUUAACCCCUCCAACUUGAUCAAGAUGAAAGUAGAUUGCUGACCGGAGGUGCUCACUGAAUGGUGGGCUUUAUCCCCUCUGCUAUUUUUCCAGCUGCCAAAGGGCCUAAGGCCUACCCCAGAUGUGCUCCAGGAGGGAGGACUCCCAAGUCCACAACU
rnacentral:lncRNA from 1 species